UAGUAUGGUUUGUAAAUUUUUAUGGGGUUUUAAUGGAAAGAACUAGGGUUUUCGAGAAAUGAAUAACAAAUGAGUGAGAUGAGACUGAGAUGGUUCGGGUAUGUGAAUAAAAGGUGGGGGAGGUAGCCGUAGGAUUUACACUUAGAGGGUUCGAAAAAAUAAAAAUGUGAUGUUUUAUGAUUAUUUUUUUUUUAUACUUGCUUUAUGUUUGUCGUGUUUGUUUUUAUGUAAUCUUUGUGGGUUUUGUUUAUUUUUAACAUCUGUUUUUGAUUUUUAACGAUAUAUAGUUGUAAUGCAGUAUGGUUUGUAAAUUUUUAUGGGGUUUUAAUGGAAAGAAUUGGGGUUUUAGAGAAAUCAAUAACAAAUGAGUGAUACGAGACUGAGAUGGUUCGGGUAUGUGAAUAAAAGGUGUGGGAGGUGGCCGUAGGAUUUUUACUUAGAGGGUUCGAAAAAAUAAAAAUGUGGUGUUUCAUGAUUAUUUUUUUUGAUACUUGCUUUAUAUUUUUUGUGUUUG
rnacentral:lncRNA from 1 species